UUAUAUAAGAAAUAAAUUUACCGUAGGAGUAAAAGUUGAAAUUAAAAUAGGUUGGCGGCGUGCUGCCUGAAUAGAGGAAUCUGAAUAUGAGUCGACAGUCCGCGAAUAGCUUAUCUAGUCUAGUUGUUUGUAUAUCUCCGUUGUAAGAAGAUUUUAGAAAAAUAUUUUCUUUAGGUCAAAAAUGAUCUUAUGACAGGUCAAGGUGCAGCUUAUGAUUAGGUUGUUUUGGAUUACAAUUUUUGAAAAAAUUACGGAUUUUAAUUUGGAAUAGUUAGGAGAAGGUGGAUUUAUUAGUAAUAGAAUUUUUGUGUGGUUUUAUGAAUAAGGAAUAGUAUGUGU
rnacentral:rRNA from 1 species